CCUACGGGUGGCAGCAGUGAGGAAUAUUGGUCAAUGGGCGUAAGCCUGAACCAGCCAAGUCGCGUGAAGGAUGAAUGUUCUACGGAUUGUAAACCUCUUUUAUAAAGGAAUAAAGUGAGGCACGUGUGCUUUUUUGUAUGUACUUUAUGAAUAAGGAUCGGCUAACUCCGUGCCAGCAGCCGCGGUAAUACGGAGGAUCCGAGCGUUAUCCGGAUUUAUUGGGUUUAAAGGGUGCGUAGGUGGGUUGUUAAGUCAGUGGUGAAAGUUUGUGGCUCAACCAUAGAAUUGCAGUUGAUACUGGCAGGCUUGAGUACGUUUGAGGCAGGCGGAAUGCGUGGUGUAGCGGUGAAAUGCUUAGAUAUCACGCAGAACUCCGAUUGCGAAGGCAGCCUACCAAGCCAUCACUGACGCUGAUGCACGAAAGCGUGGGGAUCAAACAGGAUUAGAUACCCGUGUAGUC
rnacentral:rRNA from 1 species